rnacentral:rRNA from 1 species
UCCGGUAAGGUAACCUGCGGAAGGAUCAUUA